AUCGGAGAUGGAGGAGGCGGGUGGGGCGGCUCGGAGAAGGAAGGGAGGGGCCAAGGUGGCUUGGAGAGGAGAGAAGGAGGGGGUAGGGGGGAGAGUUGACGGGCACGACAAUUAUAUUGGAAUAACUUCGCCGAGUGUCCUGCAUUGGACACUCAAGUUUGCCGAGUGUCCAACCUAGGACACUCGGCAAAGUCUUUUUUUUUAUUUUUUCCCUCCUCCUUUUCAAUAACAUGUUCUUCUACAUUUGUUUCGACGCACUUUGAAAAAUAGCUUGUCAAAUUCACCCAACAAUAUAUAUUUGAUUAUUCUACUCAUAUUAUUCCAUUAUUUUAUGCGGUUAUAGCUCAAAUUCAAUUUAUAUCAAUUAAAAUUCUAUAAUUGCACUUAAUACAUUAAAAUUAUCAAACGGUUCUAAAAAAUUACAAAAUUUCACAUGGCCCAAUAUAUGUUCUCUAUUUCCUAUACAAAAAGUUUUGUAGUCAAACUACAAUUCGACCGUCACUUUGACUCCAACUUUUAUCAAAUCC
rnacentral:lncRNA from 1 species